AGGUAACGGCUUACCAAGGCGACGAUCAGUAGCCGACCUGAGAGGGUGAUCGGCCACAUUGGAACUGAGACACGGUCCAAACUCCUACGGGAGGCAGCAGUGGGGAAUAUUGCACAAUGGGCGAAAGCCUGAUGCAGCAACGCCGCGUGAGUGAUGAAGGCCUUCGGGUCGUAAAACUCUGUCCUCAAGGAAGAUAAUGACGGUACUUGAGGAGGAAGCCCCGGCUAACUACGUGCCAGCAGCCGCGGUAAUACGUAGGGGGCUAGCGUUAUCCGGAUUUACUGGGCGUAAAGGGUGCGUAGGCGGUCUUUCAAGUCAGGAGUGAAAGGCUACGGCUCAACCGUAGUAAGCUCUUGAAACUGGGAGACUUGAGUGCAGGAGAGGAGAGUGGAAUUCCUAGUGUAGCGGUGAAAUGCGUAGAUAUUAGGAGGAACACCAGUUGCGAAGGCGGCUCUCUGGACUGUAACUGACGCUGAGGCACGAAAGCGUGGGGAGCAAACAGGAUUAGAUACCCUGGUAGUCCACGCUGUAAACGAUGAGUAC
rnacentral:rRNA from 1 species